UGUUGAGGUUCCUUGCUCAUGGCUAUGAUGU
rnacentral:piRNA from 1 species